UACUUUGAGAGACAGGGUCUCAGCCAACUUUAGGAUGGGCGGAAUGGCUAGAAGCAACUUUGUGGUGAAACAGGUUUUGAUGAUUAUCUUGUAAGAAUAAACAAAAGGCUCGACUCGGAGAGGACAUAGGAAUCAACAUCGUCAUUUGAUAGGGAAUCAACAAUGGUGCACUCAGCAGGUCCGAGAAUCUCAUCCAAUUGUGCCUUUGAGAGAGAUCGAAGUCCUUUUCCGUUGGGAUCAGCAAACAGACCAGGCUCGAAGAAAGAAAUUUCAAGCCUCUUCUUGAAACCUUCAAAACCAAUGGCAGAGACUGGCAAGGACAUAUCCAUGAUGAAAAAUGUUCACAGAAGCAAAAGAAGUUAAAGAGGAAAAUGUUCCGAGCAAUGAGCACAAAAGCAGAAAGUAGAAAAGGAAGGAAGAAAAGGAGUGAGGGCGCAAAAGAAACUGAAAGCAGAAUUUUUUUUUUGUUUUUUUUUU
rnacentral:lncRNA from 1 species